rnacentral:rRNA from 1 species
UACGGAGGGUCCAAGCGUUAUCCGGAAUCAUUGGGUUUAAAGGGUCCGUAGGCGGUUUUGUAAGUCAGUGGUGAAAGCCCAUCGCUCAACGGUGGAACGGCCAUUGAUACUGCAAGACUUGAAUUAUUGGGAAGCAACUAGAAUAUGUAGUGUAGCGGUGAAAUGCUUAGAGAUUACAUGGAAUACCAAUUGCGAAGGCAGGUUGCUACCAAUACAUUGACGCUGAUUGGACGAAAGCGUGGGGAGCCGAACGAGG